UACGGGGGGAGCAAGCGUUGUUCGGAUUUACUGGGCGUAAAGGGCGCGUAGGCGGCGCAACAAGUCACUUGUGAAAUCUCCGGGCUUAACCCGGAGCGGCCAAGUGAUACUGUCGUGCUAGAGUGCGGAAGGGGCUACUGGAAUUCUAGGUGUAGCGGUGAAAUGCGUAGAUAUCGAGAGGAACACCUGCGGCGAAGGCGGGUAGCUGGGCCGACACUGACGCUGAGGCGCGAAAGCCAGGGGAGCGAACGGG
rnacentral:rRNA from 1 species